rfam:TPA: Bos taurus chromosome 2, whole genome shotgun sequence.
UCCCUGGUGGCUCAGACGGUAAAGCGUCUGCCUGCAAUGCAUGAGACCCGGGUUCGAUCCCUGGGUCGGGAA